GUUGUCACUUCAGCAGCACAUACCCAGACUAAGGUGACACAGAGAAGAUUAGUAUGCCCUCUGAGUAAGAAUCACAUGCAAGUUUUUGAAAUAUUCUAUAUUUUU
ensembl:snRNA U6 U6 spliceosomal RNA